UGAGCAUAUGAUGACAAGCAAGACAGGGACUCUGCAGCGCUCUUGAUUUCAAAUUGGGGCCGUGAAUGAUGUAUCCGUCUAUGGGAAUCUCUGAUGCUAA
rnacentral:snoRNA from 1 species